AUGAGCAGCCUCGUGGAGCGGCUGCGCGUGCGGUCGGACAAGCGGCCCCGCUACACACUAGAUGAGUCCGACGACGACUUCCCGCCGCGCGGCGGGAACGGGAAGGGGAAGGAUCGAGAUGGCGACCCCCCUGUCAAGCAGAUCGAGCGCGAGGACGCGAAAGAAGAUGCUUGCCGAAAAUGUGGGCUAAGUGAUAAUCUUGUGUCUUGUACAACAUGUACAUAUGCAUUUCACCGGAAAUGUCUGGUUCCUUGCCUAAAUAUCACAUCUGAUAAGUGGAGCUGCCCUGAAUGUGUAAGCCCACUGACAGAGAUGGAGAAGAUAUUAGAUUGCGAAACGAAGGUUGCUUCUGAAGAGACUAGUUCUUCAGAGUCUGGAUCAAAUAAGAAACCUGUCAAGCAAUAUCUGAUUAAAUGGAAAGGAUUAUCACACAUUCACUGCACUUGGGUGUCAGAAGAUGAAUAUUUUGAGGCUGCGAAGAUACACCCUCGGUUGAAAACUAGAUUGAAUAACUUCAAUAGACAGUUUGAGUCGACGGAUAAAUCUGACGAUGACUAUGUUCCAAUUAGGCCUGAAUGGACAACUGUUGACAGGGUCCUUGCUAGCAGAAAAAACUCUAGUGGUGAAAGGGAGUACUAUGUGAAAUGGAAGGAACUUUCAUACGAUGAAUGCACAUGGGAAAGUGAGUCUGACAUCUCAGUGUUUCAACCUCAGAUUGAGCGCUACAAUGAGAUUCUGUCCAGGCGCAAGAAAUCUACUGACAAGAGUAAGAAUGCCGAUCGUGCGAUGCGUCAUGCUGAACAGACUCCCGAGUUUCUUACUGGUGGCACACUACACCCUUAUCAGCUUGAAGGGUUAAACUUUCUGCGUUAUUCAUGGUCUAUUAAUAAACGUGUCAUCCUUGGUGAUGAGAUGGGUCUUGGGAAAACAAUACAAAGUAUUGCUUUUCUGGCCUCUGUGUCUGAAGACAAGUUUGGUCCCCAUCUAGUUGUUGCCCCUCUCUCAACCUUGCGAAAUUGGGAGCGUGAAUUUGCAACUUGGGCACCUCAAAUGAAUGUUAUUAUGUAUUUUGGAUCUGGAUCUUCUCGUGACAUUAUCAAGAAGUAUGAAUUUUACUAUUCCAAAGAUAAUCCUAAGAAGCUGAAGAAAAAUAAAUCAUCUUCAUCUAAUGAUGAAAAGAAGGAGUCAAGAAUAAAAUUUGAUGUCCUUUUGACAUCUUAUGAGAUGAUUAACAUGGAUUCUGCAGUCCUGAAAACUAUAGAAUGGGAGUGCAUGAUUGUGGAUGAGGGGCACCGCUUGAAGAACAAAGAUUCAAAGUUGUUUGGUCUACUUAAAGAUUAUCAUACUCAACAUCGUGUUCUCUUAACGGGGACCCCAGUUCAGAAUAACCUGGAUGAGCUUUUCAUGCUGAUGCACUUCCUCGAGGGUGAAACUUUUGGGAGUAUAUCUGAUCUCCAAGAGGAGUUUAAGGAUAUCAACCAAGACAAGCAAGUCGAGAAGCUCCAUGGAAUGCUGAAGCCACACCUUCUUCGGAGAUUCAAGAAAGAUGUUAUGAAGGAACUUCCUCCAAAAAAGGAGCUGAUUUUACGAGUUGAGCUGACAAGCAAACAGAAAGAGUACUACAAGGCAAUUCUCACCAAGAACUACGCCGUGUUAUCUCGUCGUGGUGGUGGACAUGUUUCCCUUAUAAAUGUCGUAAUGGAGCUACGCAAACUUUGUUGCCAUGGAUUCAUGACGGAUGAACCUGAUACUGAGCCUGCGAGCCCAGAAGAAGGUUUAAGGAGGCUUUUAGAUUCUUCUGGAAAGAUGCAACUAUUAGACAAGAUGAUGGUGAAGCUGAAAGAGCAGGGUCAUAGAGUCCUUAUCUAUUCACAGUUCCAACAUAUGUUGGACUUACUGGAGGAUUAUUUAAGCUACAGGAAAUGGAGCUACGAACGUAUUGAUGGCAAGAUAGGUGGCGCUGAAAGGCAGAUACGAAUAGAUCGCUUCAAUGCUAAGACUUCUACUAGGUUCUGCUUUCUUCUUUCUACCAGAGCUGGUGGCCUGGGUAUAAAUUUGGCAACGGCUGAUACUGUAAUUAUCUAUGACAGUGACUGGAAUCCACACGCGGAUCUACAAGCUAUGGCAAGAGCCCAUCGUUUAGGGCAGACUAGCAAGGUUAUGAUAUAUAGACUUGUUAGUCGAGGUACAAUUGAGGAGCGAAUGAUGCAGCUUACAAAGAAAAAGAUGAUACUGGAGCACUUAGUUGUUGGGAGACUCACAAAGGCUAGUAAUGUCAAUCAGGAGGAGUUAGAUGAUAUUAUCCGGUAUGGGUCAAAAGAACUUUUUGAUGAUGAAGAGGAUGAAGCUGGAAAGUCCCGCCAAAUACAUUAUGACGAUGCUGCAAUAGAUAGGUUAUUGGACCGUGACCAAGUCGACGAGGAAGAGUAUUUGGAAGAUGAAGAAGAUGACGAAUUUCUGAAAGGUUUCAAGGUUGCGAACUUCGAGUACAUAGAUGAGGCUAAAGCUUUAGCAGCAAAAGAGGAGGCACGCAAAAAAGCGGAAGCUGAAGCCGCAUCCAAUAAAGCAAACUAUUGGGAAGAAUUAUUGAAAGACAGAUGCGUUGAGCAAGAAGUAGAAGAAAUUGCUAUGGGAAAAGGAAAAAGAAGCCGCAAGCAGAUGGCUGCUGCUGAUGAGGAUGACAUUACUGGCCUGCAUGAGUUAAGUUCUGAAGACGAGGAUUACUCCUAUGAUGAUGAUGUGUCGGAUAAUGACACGAGUUUACCAGCAAAUGUUUCUGGGAGGAAGGCUCAGUAUUCUAAGAAAAACUCACGUAAUGUAGAUUCACUCCCUUUGAUGGAGGGUGAAGGGCGUGCUUUAAAAGUUUAUGGAUUCAAUCACGUUCAACGAACACAAUUCCUACAGACACUCAUGAGGUAUGGUUUUCAGAACUAUGAUUGGAAAGAGUAUCUUCCUCGUUUGAAGGGGAAAAGUGUCGAGGAAAUUCAGAGCUAUGUUACAAAAACCUUGGAUAAGAUUACUUGCAAUCAGAGAGACCUCAUAUGCCAUUUCACAAAAUAUGGUGAGCUUGUCAUGGCCCAUCUUGUAGAGGACACAAAUGACUCACCAACCUAUGCAGAUGGUGUGCCGAAGGAAAUGCGUGCUGAUGAGACAUUGGUCAGGCUAGCCAAAAUAUCACUUGUGGAGGAGAAGGUGGCUGCCAUGGAGCAAGGAAAAAUUACAAAACUCUUCCCCAACUACUUGUUGCAUGAAUUUACUGGCUUAUCAGGUGGAAGAAUAUGGAAAGGGGAACAUGAUCUACUGUUACUGAAAGCAUUAAUAAAGCACGGGUAUGCCAGGUGGCAAUACAUAUCAGAUGACAGAGAUAACGGGCUAUUUGAAACUGCUCGACGGGAGCUUAAUCUUCCUUCUGCUAAUGAAUUGAUUAGUUCUCAGUCAAACAAUGAGGCAAAUGGAAAUCUGGAAAGCACACAGGAAGUGCAGGUGAACCCAACGAGCUUAUCUCAAUACAGGGACAUCCAGAGAAAGAUUGUUGAGUUUAUCAGAAAGAGAUACCAUAUUCUGGAAAAAUGCUUGGACCUUGAAUAUGCCGUGAUAAAAACGAAUACUCCUGUUCCUGAUGAUCUUACUGAACAAAAUAUUCCUAUGGGACAUAGCCCAGCUGUUCCAGAUAUCAGUGAAGUGUUGAGAGAACUUCCCCCUCUUGUACCAAUUUCUGCCAAAGAAGUGGCUUCUGAUGGCUCAACUGACCAGGCACACCUUUCCCAUCUUUACAACAAGAUGUGCGGUGUGCUUGAAGACAGCGGCCCACGUGCACUCAAUUCGUUCUGUGGUGACAAGGCAGCCUCUGCGAGUCUAGCCAACAGCCUCCAUCAGUUCGAGAAAGUAUGCGAGGACGUUGAUCGGGUCUUGAGAGUCCAAGAGAACGGUGCUGCUACCCCCAAAGAGCAAGUGGUAGAUGCCAGUGUCGAAGAAGCCAAGCCUCCACAAGAUGCAGGCGUUGCGGCGGCAAACGGUGUCGGGCCUUCAACUGUAAAGCCGGAGGACAAAAUGGAAAUCGAUGGUUGA
rnacentral:rRNA from 1 species